GAUGUGGCUGUAGCUCAGUGGUAUGGUAGAACAUCUGCUUGGCAUGCAGAAGGUCCCAGGUUCAAUCCCUGGCAGCAUCU